AGCAACGCGGGGGCGGCGCCGUGCCCCCGCCGGAGCGGAGCGGAGCAGGAGCGGAGCCGCCGCAGCCUCCCUGCGGCCCGGCCUCCCCCUCCCCCGUCCCCCGCCCGAAGUGGCCGUGCGCGGAGUCCCGUCCCCCCUCCUCCUUCGGAUAAAGCCCACGGCCGGGGGGGGGCUGCGCGGCACUCGCGGCUGCCGCGCUGAGGGCUGCCGGGGUCCCCCCCUCCCCGGGCAGCGCCCCCCCCCCCCGGGGCCGCAGGAGCAGCCGCCGCCGGAGCCCAGGAAUCGCAAAGAUCAGCUUCAAGAAGAACAGAACUCAAGCCAUUAGCAAGCUCAUCCAAAAGUAAUCAUCCGUCAGAGGUGAGUGCCUCCACAUCCCGGCUGCAGAGGAGCGUGAGGAGCAGCACGCUUCCUGCUUGCAGCCACUGCAGGAUGCAUGAGACUCAUGCCAAUAACCAUCUGAAUUCCCUCCUUCUCUUGCUACGGACUGUCAGCCCAAGGGUGUGUUUGCCCAGCAAUGGGUGAAGCUGGCAGUGAUUCCACCAGCCCAAGUACAUGGACAGCGUCAAGGUGGCAGUCCAUGGGAGAUCGUCCUCUCCACAGCUGGUGCUAAAGCAGAUCGGUCUACUUGGUAAUAUGGAAUACCUCUCACAUUGUCUUUGAGGGGAAGAGCUGAUGAUGGACUGUUCACACAACAGCAACACCAUUUUGGAUUGGGUGUUUUUGUAACAAGAGCAACAAGUAGUGCCAGUGUGACACAAGAGGACGAGGAGUAAAGCCUCUAGCUGCUUUUCCACUGCUCAUCACCUUCUGCAGACCUCAUCUCAAUGAGACAGCCUGGAGGUUCAUGGCUGUGUUUGAAUGGGACAAAGCGUGCUGGGAAAGGCAAUUCCAUUCACCUCAUUCAAGGCUGGGAUAGAGUCCAGAAUGAAUUCUUCCUGGUAACACCU
rnacentral:lncRNA from 1 species